GAGAGAGAGAGAGAGAGAGAGACUGGAAAAAGUAUCCUAAGAGACCAAUGCUUCGUUUUCACUCUAAUUAUAAAAUCCAGAUAAUGAAAUACAGAAACCAGAAUUACUCUGAAGACAUAACUUCGAAAAUUCUGUAUGCAUCUCUCAGGAUAGCAAAGAAAAUUAGUUCCGUCAGAUUAAUGAGCAACAAUAGCUCAUAAGACACUGUUGAAGGCAUCAGCCUUCUUUGGCUACAAAAACAAGGCCAAGAAGGAGAUGCAAGGAAGAGAUGAUGAGGACCAAAAAUCACUGAACAAAAUAAUGCAUUUUCCAAAACCAAAAAAAAAGUUACAUUUGUAUAUCCUGAUAUUUUUAUGUGCAGCCAGUGAGCGACUAAUCACAGAAAUUUUAAAAAGCCAAGUAUUGUAUAAGAAUGAAACCUCCAAGCAAAUCUGUAAAUCAUUCAGGCGAGUCAAAACUGCUCAAGUAGCAUUCUGAGAACUCCUUGAUACAGCAGCUAGGAUCAUGCCAAAGCAAAGAAUUAUUCAACUCCCAAACUGCUCUAUGCAGACCCCUGUAAUAUGAUCCUUCAGGUCAAUCCAAUUCAACAAGACCUGUAACAUGGUUCUUCAACUCUAAUUUGAUCAUUGCAGAGUUGCGGACCAUCUGCCAAAAGAAAUUGGAGAGACCCUCCAAGUUCAACCCAAACUCUAAAAUACUUUCCACAUUGACCAUUGAAGCUUAAGAGUACGAACACCAAGAUGUAUUGACAUUAUUCUGCAACUGGGGACAAGGCAUUGGGAAGACCUCUUUGGCAAAUCCUGAGACAAAUUCACAAUGCCAUAAUGCAGAUGAUGCCAGACCAAUUAGUGUAACAUUCUUCAUGCAUAUCCCAUCAAAUGGUGCAUCCUUGAUUCCCUGCAAAACUGGGGCUUUUGUUGAAUUCAAACUCACCACAUUACUUAUAGAAACACCUUUCACAAUUGGCAUUGCGUUUGGAUCCCAACCUUCAUCAGGGUGAUCAUUGGAGCCUCUGCUGAACCUAAUGGGAAUCUUGACUCUCUCCAUUGUUAUAUUACUUAUAGUAAUAUUUGCUAUAUAUCCUCCUCUGCCUAUAUCAGUUUUUAUUCUCACCCCUGCUGCUGAAUCCCAGACAUGCAAAUCUUCAAUUGUUACAUUAAAGAUCCCUCCAGACAUCUCGCUACCUAUUCCAACACCAGAGCAAGUUGGAGUUGUGCCCGAAACUCUCUUCACUACAAUGUUUGAACUUGGAUGAGCCAUUUUGAUGCCAUACUGAUCCCAUCCGCUCUUCACUGCUACAAGAUCAUCCCCACUCUCAAUGUAACAGUCCUCAAUACAAACAUUGGUGCUCGAGUCUGGGUCUAUACCAUCAGUAUUCGGGGCAUUCAGGGGAGCCAAAAUUGUCAUGUCUUUAACCACAACAUUGCUGAAACAAAUAGGAAGUAAUAUUAAUUCUCCAAAUGUAGUAUUUAAGUUCAAGAAAAAUAUGAACAGGUACAAGUGAACAAGCACACUAAUAAAAAUUGGUUACACGUAUCAUGCUUGAUUUACAACUCCUAUCUUAUGCCCCCAUGUCCCUAGCAAACCUAAGAUAAAUGAAGCCCACAGGAAGAGUACAUUAGAAUCUUGUAUGAAGAAGAACUCAUGAAAACAAACACGGUAGUAUAUGUUUUUGCAGAAAAGGGAUUACAAGGGAAGAGUCUUAUCAUUCUUCUACAUGUUAUCCACUUAGUUUAUUCCAUUAAUCAUUUUAAGUCGACUACACUUUGAAGGAGAACACAAACUACUAAGCUAAAAAGAUGAGAGAGAAACCUGCAGUAAACAGGGUGUAUGGUCCAAAAUGGAGAAUUUCGGAAAGUGAGAUUGGAGAUGAGGAUAUUAUGAGAGUUCAUUAGUUCUACAAGGUGUCCUCUUGUGUGCUCCAAUGUUCUGUUCCACCAUAACUCCCACCACAUCUUCCCCUGACCAUCAAUUGUCCCAUUAUGCCCUGUAAUGACAACAUUGGUAAGGCCAUUUCCAUGAAUAAGGCUAAUAUGUCUUCCUCCUAGUCUCUCCCUCCCUCUUCCAUAAGAAGGCAAAGGCUCUACAAUAGGCCAUUCCUUUGGGUCCUGAGAGCCUAGAAUAACGGCACCCUCUUCAAGAAACAAGGUGAAAUUACUGGUGAGGUUAAUGCUCCCCGUAAGCCACCUCCCCUUAGGGAGAUUCAACUGGGACCCACCUCUAUCUCCGAAACGCUUCAUGUACCGUAUCGCUUUCCGAAACGUGUCAGUAUUUGACGUUUUCCCAUCACCAACACCACCAAAAUCCUCGAUGGACAUGACAACUUCUCUCCUGGGGAACUCUGGGAGGAAGCCGACACAGCUCCCAACAUCCCCGGAAACACCGGGUUCGGACAAUCCCGACAUAAGUCGUAUCGGGUAAAUGGUUCUGGUGGUAAUUUGGAAGGACAAAAGCACUAUAAGGGUGAUCAAAAGAAUAAGCGGGGACCAUGAGAGCCUGGUUACCUUACCCAUCAUCGCACCGCCAAGGUUUUGCUUCUCACAAUCCAUUCUCUGUAACCAUCAUGGAAAUUCAAUCACCCCCACCUCAGAAAAAGAAAAAAAAGAUUGCUUUUCUUCCUAUAUGGUGUUUAUCUUUGACAGUAAUUUACAGGACGAGGAUGGUGGAUAGGUGAAGACGAAGGUUGAGAGAGGUGGUGGCGGUGGUAUCGUUUUCUUCAACGUCUUCUUUUUGUUAGUUUUAUAUAAUAUGGACGGUGGUGCAAAGAAUGAAAGACAGAAGAAGCCG
rnacentral:misc_RNA from 1 species